UAUGGUGGUUUUCCCGAGGGUGUUCACCUCUUCCCAUUCCGAACAGAGAAGUUAAGUCCCUUAUGGCCGAUGGUACUGCACAACAAUGCGGGAGAGUAGGUAGCUGCCAUAU
rnacentral:rRNA from 1 species